rnacentral:rRNA from 1 species
AACGAACGCUGGCGGCAGGCUUAACACAUGCAAGUCGAACGGGCCCUUCGGGGUCAGUGGCAGACGGGUGAGUAACACGUGGGAACGUGCCCUUCAGUUCGGAAUAACCCAGGGAAACUUGGGCUAAGACCGGAUACGCCCCUUGGGGGAAAGAUUUAUCGCUGAAGGAUCGGCCCGCGUCUGAUUAGCUAGUUGGUGAGGUAAAGGCUCACCAAGGCGACGAUCAGUAGCUGGUCUGAAAGGAUGAUCAGCCACACUGGGACUGAGACACGGCCCAGACUCCUACGGGAGGCAGCAGUGGGGAAUAUUGGACAAUGGGCGCAAGCCUGAUCCAGCCAUGCCGCGUGAGUGAUGAAGGCCUUAGGGUUGUAAAGCUCUUUCGUCCGGGACGAUAAUGACGGUACCGGAAGAAGAAGCCCCGGCUAACUUCGUGCCAGCCGCCGCGGUAACAC